ACCCCCUUAGCACCCAGUCCAUGACUGUGGAGAUCUCUGGAUCGCGGGAUGAAACUCGAGCAAUGUCAGCCACCAUCAAAACGAAAGGCUAGAGAAGACCUGCUGUUUCAAGAGCGACUGUAAGCUGAGUUGUGUGAUUGCCACCCAGAUCAUGUACAAGGGGAGGAACUGGAUGACAGGCAAAGGUGGAAGAGGUUGUUUGUUUGUUUUACAUCUCUUUUACAUCGCUCUCCUAUACAAGAAAAUGUACAGGCAGUUUGUGUGGUUUGCAGGCUAAACUAAACAUUUUAACUUGUCAA